GGGGCUGUUUUGGUUUUGACAGCACUGAUGUCGGACGGUAAGCACGUCGGGCGCUGUGGGCCGGCCCGUUAAUCCCGAUCCUCGCAAAUUCAGUUGCCAACAACAACUAUGCACUCGCUGCUUAAUUGACCAAGUCAAAAAGCUUAAUCUGCGCCGCCUAGGCUGCGGCGCCGACGAGUAUCCCGCGGACUUUAAGCCUGCUCAGUUCCGACUACGGGGUAUCAUUCAAGCAGGACGCACGGAGGGACUCCUUUAAACUCCGCCAAGACUCAAAGGAUAAGCCCUUGCUGGCCCGCCCUCCGGCAGGCUCCGGCCGACAAUCAAAGGAUGGAUAAGCGUGUAGAAAGCCGCCUGGUGCGGUGUUUGGACGGCGGUUCGAGUCCGCCCAGCUCCACA
rnacentral:tmRNA from 1 species